GAUGAACGCUGGCGGCGUGCCUAACACAUGCAAGUCGAGCGAUUUACUUCGGUAAAGAGCGGCGGACGGGUGAGUAACGCGUGGGUAACCUGCCUCAUACACAUGGAUAACAUACCGAAAGGUAUGCUAAUACAAGAUGAUAUAAGAGAUUCGCAUGGAUUUCUUAUCAAAGCUCCGGCGGUAUGAGAUGGACCCGCGUCUGAUUAGCUAGUUGGUAAGGUAACGGCUUACCAAGGCGACGAUCAGUAGCCGACCUGAGAGGGUGAUCGGCCACAUUGGAACCGAGACACGGUCCAAACUCCUACGGGAGGCAGCAGUGGGGAAUAUUGCACAAUGGGCGAAAGCCUGAUGCAGCAACGCCGCGUGAGCGAUGAAGGCCUUCGGGUCGUAAAGCUCUGUCCUCAAGGAAGAUAAUGACGGUACUUGAGGAGGAAGCCCCGGCUAACUACGUGCCAGCCGCCGCAGUAAUAC
rnacentral:rRNA from 1 species